rnacentral:rRNA from 1 species
AGCAGCCGCGGUAAUUCCAGCUCCAAUAGCGUAUAUUAAAGUUGUUGCAGUUAAAAAGCUCGUAGUUGAAUUUCGGGGUUCUACCGUUGGUCGGGCUUUGUCUGUACUGGCGUGUAGAAUUUCUACCUUCUGGGGAACUAUCAUGUUAUUAAUUUAGCGUGGUAGGAAACCAGGACCUUUACCUUGAAAAAAUUAGAGUGUUCAAAGCAGGCUUAUGUCUGAAUACAUUAGCAUGGAAUAAUAAAAUAGGACGGUGGUCCUGUUUUGUUGGUUUCUGAAUCACCGUAAUGAUUAAUAGGGAUAGUUGGGGGCAUUAGUAUUCAAUUGUCAGAGAUGAAAUUCUUGGAUUUAUUGAAGACUAACUACUGCGAAAGCAUUUGCCAAGGAUGUUUUCAUUAAUCAAGAACGAAAGUUAGGGGAUCGAAGACGAUCAGAUACCGUCGUAGUCUUAACCAUAAACUAUGCCGACUAGGGAUCGGACGAUGUUAACUUUUCUUGACUCGUUCGGCGCCUUACG